rnacentral:piRNA from 1 species
UAAGUAAUUAGGCUGCCUUGCAUCUU